GAUGAACGCUGGCGGCGUGCCUAAUACAUGCAAGUCGAGCGAACGGACGAGAAGCUUGCUUCUCUGAUGUUAGCGGCGGACGGGUGAGUAACACGUGGAUAACCUACCUAUAAGACUGGGAUAACUUCGGGAAACCGUAGCUAAUACCGGAUAAUAUUUUGAACCGCAUGGUUCAAAAGUGAAAGACGGUCUUGCUGUCACUUAUAGAUGGAUCCGCGCUGCAUUAGCGAGUUGGUAAGGUAACGGCUUACCAAGGCAACGAUGCAUAGCCGACCUGAGAGGGUGAUCGGCCACACUGGAGCUGAGACACGGUCCAGACUCCUACGGGAGGCAGCAGUAGGGAAUCUUCCGCAGUGGGCGAAAGCCUGACGGAGAAACGCCGCGUGAGUGAUGAAGGUCUUCGGAUCGUAAAACUCUGUUAUUAGGGAAGAGCAUAUGUGUAAGUAACUGUGCACAUCUUGACGGUACCUAAUCAGAAGGCCACGGCUAACUACGU
rnacentral:rRNA from 1 species